rnacentral:rRNA from 1 species
UACGAAGGGUGCAAGCGUUACUCGGAAUUACUGGGCGUAAAGGGUGCGUAGGUGGUUGUUUAAGUCUGCUGUGAAAGCCUCGGGCUCAACCUGGGAAUGGCAGUGGAUACUGGACAGCUAGAGUGCGGUAGAGGGUAGUGGAAUUCCUGGUGUAGCGGUGAAAUGCGCAGAUAUCAGGAGGAACACCGGUGGCGAAGGCGGGUCUCUGGGCCGAUACUGACGCUGAGGAGCGAAAGCGUGGGGAGCGAACAGG